UCAGGACAGUUAUGUUUCCCUUACUGGGGAUGAUGGCUCUAUUCCAUGGGGUACAAAGUGAAUUAAUUCUCCAAAAAGACCGAUUCCUCACCGUACGCGAACGGGGCUCGGUGAUGAUGUCCUGCUUUGUGCCAAAUACCCACCCGAGUACCUAUUGGUAUCGACAGACUCCCAAUCAAGGGCUGGAGCUCCUGAUCUACGCGUAUCGGAGUAACGCCCCACAGAUAUCGGAAGGAUUCGAGAACCGACUGUCAGCAGUCCGGGGGUCGGACGAUUCCUACCACCUCAACUUGACUGGGCUGCUCCCCGGUGACACGGCUGUGUAUUUCUGCGCAAGCGAUAGCACCACAGUAGUGCCGACAACCUGA